rnacentral:rRNA from 1 species
AUGGCGUACCGGGCGGAUGACGACUACGACUACCUCUUCAAGGUGGUGCUCAUCGGCGACUCGGGCGUCGGGAAAUCCAACCUCCUCACCCGGUUCACGCGCAACGAGUUCAGCCUGGAGUCAAAGUCCACAAUUGGGGUCGAGUUCGCUACCAGGAGCAUUAGGGUCGACGAUAAGGUCGUCAAGGCGCAGAUCUGGGAUACCGCUGGCCAAGAGAGAUAUCGUGCAAUUACAAGCGCAUAUUACAGAGGAGCUGUCGGUGCGCUUGUUGUGUAUGAUGUGACACGCCAUGUGACCUUCGAGAAUGUGGAGAGGUGGCUGAAGGAGCUCAAGGACCAUACCGAUGCUAACAUUGUGAUCAUGCUAGUCGGCAACAAGGCCGACCUGCGCCACUUGCGGGCUGUCUCUGUGGAGGAUGCCAAGGCAUUUGCGGAGAGGGAAUACACCUUUUUCAUGGAAACCUCUGCCCUGGAGGCCAUGAAUGUAGAGGACGCUUUCACUGAGGUGUUAACCCAGAUCUACCGAGUGGUCAGCAAGAAAGCUCUUGACAUCGGCGACGACCCUGCCGCUCCACCACGAGGGCAGACCAUCAACGUAGGGUCCAAAGACGAUGUCUCUGCCGUAAAGAAGGCUGGAUGUUGCUCAUCCUAA